rnacentral:rRNA from 1 species
UCUGGUGACUAUAGCAAGGAGGUCACACCUGUUCCCAUGCCGAACACAGAAGUUAAGCUCCUUAGCGUCGAUGGUAGUCGA